rnacentral:rRNA from 1 species
UCUCCAAUAAACAUUUAGUGGGAAAGGAAGUUUAGAUCCUAAGACAACUAGGAGGUCGGCUCAGAAGCAGCCAUCCUUUAAAGAAAGCGUAACAGCUCACUAGCCGUAGGAUUUAUGCGCCGAAAAUUUAACGAGGCUCAAAUGUUUAACCGAAGCUUAGGAUUUGCUCUAGUUUACUAGAGUGAGUGGUAAGGGAGCGUUCUGUGUGCUUUGAAGGUGGCCCGUAAGGAGCUGCUGGAGCGAUCAGAAGUGAGAAUGCUGGCAUAAGUAGCGUCAUUGAAGUGAGAAUCUUCAACUCCGAAUGUCCAAGGUUUCCGCACCCACGUUCGUCGUGUGCGGGUUAGGCGACCCUAAGACAAGCCCCGUCUCAGACGGAGGGUAGUCGAUGGAUUACUGGUUAAUAUUCCAGUCCUUGGUACAGAUCAUUAUUACUUGGGGAGGGACGAUGAUGGAUAGCGCUGGUGCAAAAGUGAAUUUUGUAUCCAAUCAACAAGACAGUCUAGUUAGGCAAAUCCGAUUAGGCGUUUAUUCAAGUUGUGAUAGGUCAAUACUCCGCGUGAGUGUUGAUCAGCGUGAUUUCAUUAUCCUGGAAAAGCUUCGCAAGGAGAGCUGUAUCAAAUCGUACCGAUAACCGACACAGGUGGACAGGUCGAGUAGACCAAGGAGAGCGAGAGAAAGUAGUUUAAGGAAUUCGGCAAAAUAGCUGGGCGUAACUUUGGGAAAUGCCCUCCCCAUCGCAAGAUGGGGCGCAGCGAAUGAGAUGGAGCUGACUGUUUACCAAAAACACAGGUCUGUGCAAACCCGCAAGGGGAAGUAUACGGGCUGAAACCUGCCCGGUGCUGGAAGGUUAAUUGCGAGGGUGAUUAGUUUACUAAUUGCUUUCAAUAGAAGCCCCAGUGAACGGCAGCAGUAACUAUAACUGUUCUAAGGUAGCGAAGUACCUUGUCACUUAAUUGGUGACGCGCAUGAAAGGCACAACAAGCCUCAUACUGUCUUGAACUACUACUCGGCGAAAUUGAGAUGGCCGUGAAGACGCGGCCUACUAACACAAGGACAAAAAGACCCCGUGAAGCUUUACUACAACUUGGCACUGGUCUUAUAUAUAGAAUUGUUUAGGAUAGGUGGGAGUUCCUUCAUUUAGUGAUGGAACAUCAGUGAAAUACCACUCGUUUUAUAUAUAGGACCUUACUUAAGACUAAUGCAAACUUAGUCAAGGACACUGUCUGGCAGGUAGUUUAACUGGGGAGGUUGCUUGCUAAAGAGUAACGCAAGCGCGCAAUGGUACCCUUAGUCUGGAUGGAAAUCAGACUGUACGUGCAAUAGCAUAUGGGUGCUUAACUGUGAGGCAUACGGGCCGAGCAGAUGCGAAAGCAGGUUAUAGUGAUCCUCGUGCACUUUAUGGAAGGUGCCGGGCUUAUCGGAUAAAAGCUACUCCGGGGAUAACAGAGUCAUCGCGCCUAAGCGUCCCUAGCGUCGGCGCGGUUUGCUACCUCGAUGUCGGCUCAUCGCAUCCUGGGGGUGAAGAAGCUCCCAAGGGUUUGGCUGUUCGCCAAUUAAAGCGGUACGCGAGCUGGGUUCAGACCGUCGUGAGACAGGUCGGCCUCUAUCCGCUGUCAGCGUUCGAUGUUUGAGGGAAUUUGCCCCUAGUACGAGAGGACCGGGGUGAGAGAAUCCCUAGAGAUCGGAAGAGCACACGUCUGAACUCCAGUCACGUCAGUCAAUCU